UUGACAGCCCUGGAGAUUAAAGCCUUCUUUUUAUCCACAGAACAGGUACAGCACGGGCAUCGUGGGUACCCAAACAUCCCCCGUUCUGACCCGAGGUGGCCACUUCUAGGGGAAUUCAGUUUCCAUGUUUAGUCAAUUCUUGGUCUUU
rnacentral:sRNA from 1 species